CAAAACACAGCAGAAGACAGAUGGUGAUCGCAACAACUACCCAGAAGGUGGUCGAGGAAGAGAAGUGACACUGAGUACCUCUCUGGAGUCGGAUUAAGUGCCUUGGGUCUAAAACAGUGGCUGGCUGAUAAAUUGUCCGGUCCCGACUCCCCCGGGUGAACAAUCUGUGAGAGCCGGCUGCACCAGAAGCUCAAUGAAUGAACCAUUAAUCAGGCUGGCUUCCCUCCCUCGACGCAGGGAUUAAGGUGGAUUUUACUGUAAUACACCAGAAGAACUCUUUUUAAUUUGAAUUCUGGGUUGUUGUUUUUCACUUAAGUGGAGACUUUUUCUCAGAAAAGCAGAAGAAUAUACAGAAAAUUCAAUAUGGUAUCUUAGCAAUUGUAAGGAAAUACCUGUAACAAAGGUCACAAUAUUGCAACAUGAUUGGCACGCCUUCUGGCUGAGAAAUAAAUGAACAA
ensembl:lncRNA